rnacentral:tRNA from 1 species
CAAAUUAAAAUUUAUAUAAAAUUUUUAUUUACAAUAAAAAUAUUAUCGUGUAAUUCGGUAUAAUUUGA